AUGCAGCAAGGCAGACCUUUGGCAUACUAUAGUUCCUCCCUGUGUCCUAGAAAUGCUGCUCUGUCCACAUAUGAGAAAGAGGCUUUAGCUAUCUUAGAAGCACUUAAGAAAUGGAGGCAUUACCUAUUAGGCAAUGAACUGAUCAUUAAGACUGACCAACAAUCUCUCAAAUUUAUAACUGAUCAGAAGAUUACUGAAGGAGUUCAGCACAAGUUAAUGAUGAAGUUGUUGGAGUUCAACUUCAAAAUUCAGUACAAGAAAGGUGUACAAAACAAGGUGGCUGAUGCCCUCUCUAGGUUACUUCCUUCCUGCAUGGCUAUCUCUGUAGCUACUCCAGUGUGGGCACAAGAACUGUGUGAAGGUUAUCCUAGAGACCCAGUUACUAAAAAUCUCCUAGAGCAACUGCUGUUACAAAAAACUCACACCAUGUCUGAUUAUAGCUUGACAGCUGGUAUCAUUAGGUACAAAGGGAGAAUCAUGGUAGGAGAUGUGGCUGACUUGAGAACAAGACUUAUUACUGCUCUACACAGCUCUCCAGUGGGAGGUCAUUCAGGAACAAGGGCUACAUACCAGAGGGUCAAAAGCAUAUUUUAUUGGCCUGGGUUGAAAGCAGCUGUGGAAAAUUUCAUUGCUGAAUGCCCUGUCUGCCAGAGAGCAAAGCAUGAAAAUUGUUUGCAACCUGGUUUGUUGGAACCCCUCCCUAUGGCUGACAUGGCUUGGCAACAUAUAUCCAUGGAUUUCAUAGAGGGAUUACCUAAUUCUCAAGGCAAGGAGGUCAUAUUGGUAAUAGUGGACAGAUUCACUAGAUAUGCUCAUUUCAUUCCAUUGUCACACCCCUAUACAGUAAUGAGUGUGGCUCAAGCUUUUGUAGACAAUAUCAUCAGGUUGCAUGGACCACCUAAACUUAUCAUUUAUGACAGAGACAGAAUUUUUACUAGCAAGCUAUGGAAGGAUAUCUUUACUGCACUCAAGAGUGAAUUGAGGUACAACACUACUUACCAUCCUCAAACAGAUGGCCAAACAGAGAGGGUAAAUCAGUGUGUGGAAACUUAUCUAAGGUGCAUGACUACUGAUCAACCAAAGAAAUGGGCCUCUUGGAUUUCCCUAGCUGAAUUCUGGUAUAACACUACUUAUCAUACUGCUCUGAAGAUGUCUCCCUUCCAAGCUUUAUAUGGUUUUUCCCCACCACUAAUUUCUGAACUUGCUAUACCUGGGCCUGAGGAUGAAGAAGCACACUCCUUCUUAGCAGAGAAACAAAAUAUGUUGGAAAACCUCAAGACAAAUUUGCAACAAGCUCAGAACAGGAUGAAAAAGUAUGCAGACAUGAAAACAAGUGAAAGAGUGUUUGCAGUAGGAGAUAUGGUGUAUCUUAAAAUGGCUCCCUAUCGACUGGCAGCAUUUGGAUUUCGUGGUGCCUUGAAACUCCAAAACAAGUUUUAUGGUCCAUUUAUGAUCACCCAGAAAGUAGGCAAGGUGGCUUACAAGUUAUAG
rnacentral:rRNA from 1 species